UACGAAGGGGGCUAGCGUUGUUCGGAAUUACUGGGCGUAAAGCGCACGUAGGCGGGUCGUUAAGUCAGGGGUGAAAUCCUGGAGCUCAACUCCAGAACUGCCUUUGAUACUGGCAACCUAGAGACUGGAAGAGGUUAGUGGAAUUCCCAGUGUAGAGGUGAAAUUCGUAGAUAUUGGGAAGAACACCAGUGGCGAAGGCGGCUAACUGGUCCAGCACUGACGCUGAGGUGCGAAAGCGUGGGGAGCAAACAGG
rnacentral:rRNA from 1 species